rnacentral:rRNA from 1 species
UAGGGAAUCUUCGGCAAUGGACGAAAGUCUGACCGAGCAACGCCGCGUGAGUGAAGAAGGUUUUCGGAUCGUAAAAACUCUGUUGGUAGAGAAGAACGUUGGUGAGAGUGGAAAGCUCAUCAAGUGACGGUAACUACCCAGAAAGGGACGGCUAACUACGUGCCAG